CUCUUUGGGAAACCUCCAUCUUUUCUCUAAGGUCUUCAACUAAUUGGAUGAAGCCCAUCCACAUUAUGGAGGGUCACUAGCUUUACUCAAAGCCUACUGAUUUCAUUGUAAGUCACAUCUAAAAAAUACCUUCACAGCAACAUCUAUGCUUUUAUCUGCCAAACAACUGGGCACCGUAUGCUAGCCAAGUUGACACAUAAAAUUAACUGUCACUCCAUGGGACUAGAUGAAAUUACCCAGGAGUUAAUGUAUUUAGAGAAAUAAAGAUGGCCCAGGACAGAGCCCUGGCACGCUCAAACUGCAAAAGGGGAAAAGAACCCAGCAAUGGAGCCUAAGAAGGAGCUGGCAGGAGGUAGGAGGAAAACCAAGACUGUGUGGUGUCUCAGAAGCCAAUGAAGAAGUGCUCCAAAAAGGAAGAUCAACUAUUUCAAGCACUGCCAAGAAAUCCUAUAAGGCUUCUGGAUGUGCAGGAUGGCGCUGGCCUGCAGAAGGCUGCCACGCGCAGGUCGGGGCGGUACUUGCUCUUGAGGAUCCUGUGUCUGAUGCUGCUGAGGGCCCUGGGAAGAUUACGUAGCCAACACUGGUGUGAAAAUCAUGCCUAUGGAGGGUUCUUUUGGAACCCAGAAGAAACAGAUAAAGGAGGUGUUUAUUCAUGAAACCAGCACUUAGAAGACUGCAUCAGCAGUUCCAGCUCCAUGAUUACAAGCUCCUCGAAGACAUGAACCAGAUCACACCUCUCCUGUGUGGCUAAGGCCAACUGCACAUGUAGAACGGUGUUCCUCCUAUGCUUGGGACAAAUAAAUCUCACAAAAUCAAAA
rnacentral:lncRNA from 1 species